GACGAACGCUGGCGGCGUGCUUAACACAUGCAAGUCGAACGAAGUGGCGAACGGGUGAGUAACGCGUAAUCAACCUGCCCUUCAGAGGGGGACAACAGUUGGAAACGACUGCUAAUACCGCAUACGGAAGGAGGGGAUUGCGUCGGAUUAGCUUGUUGGCGGGGUAACGGCCCACCAAGGCGAUGAUCAGUAGCCGGUCUGAGGGGAUGAACGGCCACAUUGGGACUGGGGCACGGCCCAGGCUCCUUCGGGGAGCAACAGUUGGGAAUCUUCCGCAAUUGACGAAAGUCUGACUGAGCAACGCCGCGGGGGUGAUGACGGCCUUCGGGUUGUAAAGCUAUGUUAAUCGGGGCGCGGUACCGGAAUAGAAAGCCACGGCUAACUACGUGCCAGCAGCCGCGGUAAUUC
rnacentral:rRNA from 1 species